rnacentral:lncRNA from 13 species
AUGGGAAAAGUAUGCACCUGUGUCGUAGGUCAUACUUUCAAUUCUGAUAAGGACUUGGUAAGACAACUCACUGGCCGAGGAGACUGUACUGAAGUGUCACUAGCGGAGAGUGAUGUCAUCAUAAUGAUCUGUCCUAUGGUCAGUGACUUUGGAACUCUGGACCUUGAUAUACAACUGGAGGUGGUCUCAGAAUACCUAGCUGGUAGACCUGUUGUUCUGGUGGUGCUGCAUGACACUUUCGACCCAGACUCCACUAUACCUGACAGCAGCAGACUAGUGACCAGGGGUGAGGUAAUACUCACAGUGGACUGUCUAUUUAAUCACAGAGGACUGCUGGACUGUCCUCGCAAUAAAGAAGCAGUCGAUAUGAUUCUGAAGAGGCUAAACGUACAACCAAAGCAGGAACUCACAGAAGGUAAGCCAAGGAUGGGAAAAGUAUGCACCUGUGUCGUAGGUCAUACGUUCAAUUCUGAUAAGGACUUGGUAAGACAACUCACUGGCCGAGGAGACUGUACUGAAGUGUCACUAGCGGAGAGUGAUGUCAUCAUAAUGAUCUGUCCUAUGGUCAGUGACUUUGGAACUCUGGACCUUGAUAUACAACUGGAGGUGGUCUCAGAAUACCUAGGACCAUUCAGGGUCCACUCACUCAGCCAUAUCCACAAACUCUCAAGAUCCUAUUUCCUCCUACAACACCCUGAUGAGAAGCAAAAAGCCUGGUCCAAUGACUUGGAUACAGAACUCAUCAGUGCCUAAAGUGCCCAGCAGAGGGUCCACCAGAAGCCCUGCGGUGGUCGGUCUGGGGGAAGACCUGGCAGUGAUGAAGGACCUCCUACCUUGACAUUUUUCGAAAAACAGUUUUUCCAGUGUUUAAGGUUUCUGAAAGUUAAGCACACAAUAUGCUACAGUUCUACAGCUACAGUAGAAUUCAAAAUGUGUUUGACAGUAGUCAACAUGUACCAUUAUAGGCCAUAACGAGAUGCAUUGUCGCAGAUGUGUGUAGAUCAACCAGUGUCCUGUUUAUUUUUUUAGAAACAAAAUGACAUGUCAUUCAGUUGUGGCUUGUUAGCUCUGAUAAAGACUUGCUCAUGUACAUGUAUGUGUCUAAUAAUAUUACAUAUCACAGUGGACUCAGGAUAAUAGAGAGUAUUAAAGCUUUGAAAAAAUAGCAGCAAAACCUAACCUAGACUAAUUUACUGGCUAGUCUUUCACUCUCAGCUUUGUUUGACAUUUCACUCUGUCACCACUAUAGGCCAUAUCAAGAUGUAUUGUCAUAGCAUUGAUAUCACUUGUAGAUAAGUGUAGAAUGGUGCAUUGCCAUUAUUUGUUAUUAUUAAUAAAUACAGUGCAUUCGGAAAGUAUUCGGACCCCUUGACUAUUUCCACAUUUUGUUACAUUACAGCCUUAUUCUAAAAUUGAUUAAAUUGAUUAUUUUCCUCAAUCUAUGCACAAUACCACAUAAUAACAAAGCAAAAACAGGUGAAUGAAAUUAUUGUUAUUGUUAUGCAUUUUUUAAAUACCUUAUUUACAUAAGUAUUCAGACCCUUCGCUAUGAGACUCGAAAUUGAGCUCAGGCGCAUCUUGUUUCCAUUGAUCAUCCUUGAUAUGUUUCUCAAACUUGAUUGAAUGGCAGCAUGGUCAUCCAACCAACUGAUUGGACAUGAUUUGGAAAGGCACAGACCUGUCUAUAUAAGGUCCCACAGUUGACUGUGCAUGUCACAGGCGUGGCAUAUGCUAGCGUGAGGGAGGACCGUGAGAUGGCGGAAGUAGAAGUGUUGUGUUUGAAGCUGAAAGCAUGUCGAGUACAGUUAACGAGAAAGGUGAUUGGACAACAGUGAAGUUCAAGAAUGGAACAAAAAGGGUCAAAAUUGCUGUGGAAAAUGUGUCUGAUGAAUUAUUGCUUGUUGGAGUAUGUUUUUUGGAUAAGGAUGUUAUUUUUAGGAAACCCUUUUGAAGUCAAAAUGAUGGGGAAGAAGGCACCGGGGGAAAAGUCCAUGCAGUCAAAGUAACCAGGAGUAGUAUUUUUUAUUUUUUUUAAGAAUUUAUUUUACCAGGUAGGCCAGUUGAGAACAAGUUCUCAUUUACAACUGCGACCUGGCCAAGAUAAAGCAAAGCAGUGCGACACAAACAACAGCACAGUUACACAUAGAGUAAACAGGCGUACAGUCAAUAGCACAAUAGAAAAAGUCUAUAUACAGUGUGUGCAAAUGGCGUGAGGAGGUAAGGCAAUAAAUAGGCCAUAGUAGCAAAGUAAUUACAAUUUAGCAAAUUAACACUGGAGUGAUAGAUAUGCAGAUUAUGAUGUGCAAGUAGAGAUACUAGUGUGCAAAAAAAGUAAUUAAAAAUCUAGGGAUGAGGUAGGUAGAUUGGAUGGGCUAUUUACAGAUGGGCUGUGUACAGCUGCAGCGAUUGGUAAGCUGCUCAGAUAGCGGAUGCUUAAAGUUAGUGAGGGAGAUAUGUCUCCAGCUUCAGCGAUUUUUCAAUUCGUUCCAGUCUUUGGCAGCAGAGAAGUGGAAGGAAAGGCAGCCAAAGCAGGUGUUGGCUUUGGGGAUGACCAGUGAGAUAUACCUGCUGGAGCGCGUGCUACGGGUGGGUGUUGUUAUGGUGACCAGUGAGCUGAGAUAAGGCGGAGCUUUACUUAGCAAAUACUUACAGAUGACCUGGAGCCAGUGGGUCUGGCGAUGAAUAUGUAGCGAUGGCCAGGCGACAAGAGCAUACAGGUCGCAGUGGUGGAUGGUAUACGGGACUUUGGUGACAAAACGAAUGGCACUGUGAUAGACUUCAUCCAUUUUGCUGAGUAGAGUGUUGGAGGCUAUUUUGUAAAUGACAUCGUCGAGGAUCGGUAGGAUAGUCAGGUUUACUAGGUUAAGUUUGGCAGCGUGAGUGAAGGAGGCUUUGUUGCAAAAUAGGAAGCCUAUUCUAGAUUUAAUUUUGGAUUGGAGAUGUUUAAUAUGAGUCUGUAAGGAGAGUUUACAGUCUAACCAGACACCUAGGUAUUUGUAGUUGUCCACAUAUUCUAAAUCAGAACCAUCCAGAGUAAUUAUGCUAGGCGGGCGGGUGAGGGCAGCGAUCGGUUGAAAAGCAUGCAUUUAGUUUUACUAGCGUUUAAGAGCAGUUGGAGGCCACGGAAGGAGUGUUGUAUGGCAAUGAAGCUCGUUGGAGAUUUGUUAACACAGUGUCCAAAGAAGGAGCGCCUCUUGUCCGACUACAAAAGACACACUCCUCCAAAUAUAUUCAAGUUAUUCUGUCCUAUAGCACCAUAUCAUUGGUAGGCCUAGGCUAUAUCUAGCCCAUUCAGAUGCUAACUACCUUUAGCGCCUAUUGAUGAUCGAAUCUUCUGGGUCAGGUGAAUUUUGUUAAAGGACUGGUUGCAUGAUAUGCAAAUCUAAUGUAGAUUGCUGAUAUUCCAUUUAAAGGAGUGUACAAAACAGACUGAUCAAGUGAAUCCAGGAGAAAGCUGUGAUCCCUUACUGAUCCCACCUGUUAUAUCCACUUUAGUCAGUGUAGAUUCAGCGGUGGAGACAGGUUAAAAUCAGGAUUGUUAAGCCUUGAUACAUGGAUCGUGAACUAGGGUUUUACUAACAUGAUUGCGGUGGCUGGAGCAAGGUCGUAAGUGUACAGUUGAGCAGGUAUGGUCGUGAAGGAAACAAUGAGAGGUCAGAGAUAGCCAGACUUGUAAAUUGAACUAAGGAACAGAAGGUUGGGUUUUGGAGAAACGCCAUCAUUCUAGAUUUGAUUUUGGAUUAUAAAUGUUUAAUAUGAGUCUGGAAGGAGAGUUUACAGUCUAACCAGACACCUAGGUAUUUAUAGUUGUACACAUACUCUAGGUCGGAAUCGUCCAGUGUGGUGAUGCUAUUCGGGCGGGCGGGUACGGGCAGCGAACGGUUGAAAAGCAUGCAUUUAGUUUUACUAGCGUUUAAGAGCAGUUGAAGGCCACGGAAGGAGUGUUUUAUGGCAUUGAAGCUCGUUUGGAGGUUAGUUAGCACAGUGUCCAAGGAAGGGCCAUAAGUAUACAGAAUGGUGUCGUCUGCUUAGAGGUGGAUCAGGGAAUCACCUGCAGCAAGAGCGACAUUGUUGAUAUAUACAGAAAAAAGAGCUGGCCCGAGAAUUGAACCCUGUGGUACCCCCAUAGAGACUGCCAGAGGUCCGGACAACAGGCCCUCCGAUCUGACACACUGAACUCAUCUGAGAAGUAGUUGGUGAACCAUGCCAGGCAGUCAUUUCAGACACCAAGGCUGUUGAGUCUGCCGAUAAGAAUACGGUGAUUGACAGAGUCGAAAGCCUUGGCCAGGUCGAUGAAGAUGGCUGCACAGUACUGUAUUUUAUGGGUUAUGAUAUCGUUUACUACCUUGACCGUGGCUGAGGUGCACCCGUGACCGCAGUGC